CAGAGAGUAGUUAAAUAAAGAAUUUUGGCUUUGGGAGCCAGGGGUGGGAGUUAAAGUCUCUCCUCUUUGA
rnacentral:tRNA from 1 species